GAUGAACGCUGACAGAAUGCUUAACACAUGCAAGUCAACUUGAACUUCGGUUUGGGUGGCGGACGGGUGAGUAACGCGUACAGAACUUGCCUCACAGAUAGGGACAACAUUUGGAAACGAAUGCUAAUACCUGAUAUUAUGAUUUUAGGGCAUCCUAGGAUUAUGAAAGCUAUAUGCGCUGUGAGAGAGCUUGCGUCCCAUUAGCUAGUUGGAGAGGUAACGGCUCACCAAGGCGAUGAUGGGUAGCCGGCCUGAGAGGGUGAUCGGCCACAAGGGGACUGAGACACGGCCCUUACUCCUACGGGAGGCAGCAGUGGGGAAUAUUGGACAAUGGACCAAGAGUCUGAUCCAGCAAUUCUGUGUGCACGAUGAAGUUUUUCGGAAUGUAAAGUGCUUUCAGUUGGGAAGAAAAAAAUGACGGUACCAACAGAAGAAGUGACGGCUAAAUACGUG
rnacentral:rRNA from 1 species